rnacentral:rRNA from 1 species
UACGUAGGUGGCAAGCGUUGUCCGGAUUUACUGGGCGUAAAGGGCGUGCAGGCGGUUUGUUAAGUGCAGGGUGAAAGCCCCCGGCUCAACUGGGGAGGGUCACGCGAUACUGCUCGACUCGAAGGCAGGAGAGGGAAGUGGAAUUCCCGGUGUAGUGGUGAAAUGCGUAGAUAUCGGGAGGAACACCAGUGGCGAAGGCGACUUCCUGGCCUGUUCUUGACGCUGAGGCGCGAAAGCUAGGGUAGCAAACGGG